rnacentral:rRNA from 1 species
GACGAACGCCGGCGGCGUGCUUAACACAUGCAAGUCGAACGGAAAGGCCCUGCUUUUGUGGGGUGCUCGAGUGGCGAACGGGUGAGUAACACGUGAGUAACCUGCCCUUGACUUUGGGAUAACUUCGGGAAACUGGGGCUAAUACCGGAUAGGAGCUCCUGCUGCAUGGUGGGGGUUGGAAAGUUUCGGCGGUUGGGGAUGGGCUCGCGGCUUAUCAGCUUGUUGGUGGGGUAGUGGCUUACCAAGGCUUUGACGGGUAGCCGGCCUGAGAGGGUGACCGGCCACAUUGGGACUGAGAUACGGCCCAGACUCCUACGGGAGGCAGCAGUGGGGAAUAUUGCACAAUGGGCGGAAGCCUGAUGCAGCAACGCCGCGUGCGGGAUGACGGCCUUCGGGUUGUAAACCGCUUUCGCCUGUGACGAAGCGUGAGUGACGGUAAUGGGUAAAGAAGCACCGGCUAACUACGUG